AGUGGCCAUGCUGGGCUGAAUGCACCUGAUCCUUGCUGAUUGUGGAUGCUGUGCAGUACAAGACUUUGCUAGUAUUUGGAUGAGAGACUUUCUUGGAAUUCCAAGUGCUGUAGGUA
rnacentral:rRNA from 1 species